rnacentral:lncRNA from 15 species
GUGAGAUGACAGUGCUAACCACUGCGCUGCCCUGUUUCACGUGUAUAUUAUAUGUCAUAAUGUCUUUUAUUUUACUUUAAUUGUGAAACAUUUAGCUAAUUAUUGCAUGAAAAUGUAUGAUCAGUGAAAAAAUUAUAUUUCUUGCUUUUUCUCUCUUUUUUGCAGGUAUAAAAGACUUUAUAGAUUGUAUAUUUUAUACAAACCACACAAAGACCACAAGGAGGCGAGAGGGUCCGUUUUCUCAUCUUUUAAUAACACAUUCAUAUCUAUGCUCUGUUUUGUUUACAAGGAGUUUAAAACAAGUGUUGAUGAGGACUAAAGGAAUCAGGCAGGCAGAGGGUGAAAGUCCAUAUACUGUAAAGACCAAAGGCGCCAUCUGGUGGAAGGAGGAAGACCACCCACAGCUACACAGUCAGCUAAAACAACAGGUCCUUUUGCUUUUUCAAACGACUCAUUAGAAGUGAAAAUAGAUCAUCGAUCAGUGUAGAAGGUCCUCGCAGGGCGCUCCAACUCAUGUAGGCUUUUCACAGAGAGAAAGAAAAUGCUAAAUGCACCCAAACACAAGAGAUACAAUCUGCUGUCAUAAAAAAAAGAGAGAGAAAAAAUUAGAAGUCAACCAAAAUAAAACAUGAAGAAUAUCUUGAAGUUAAAAAAAGUGUAAGGUUAACGAAAUUGACAAAAGAAAAUGCAAAUUGGAUAAAGAAAUCUCAUUUAUGUUGGGUUUUUUUUUUUUUAAAGAAGAAAAUUUAAAACAGUUGGUAAGUUUUUGUCUCCCCCUUUAAGAUUAUUAUUCAAUUUCAUAAUCCUUUGAAAAAGAACUAAGAAUGGAGAAAGAAAACAAAAUCAUCUUUGGAAGAAGUAAAAGUUUUUUCCUUUAAUAGACUAUCCACUACAGUAUAUGGAGAUGCCGCUACCCAGUUAUUCAUUUACCUAUAUUUCUUUCGAGCAACUUUUUUUUUGUUAUUUUUGUGUCCUUUUUCGAAAAAAAAAAAAUUUACCAUUUACCUAUUUUUUUCCCCAAGAGGUAGAUCAACAAAACAAUUACAUGGUUACAGGUGUCGUGACCCUUGAUUCAGGAGGUGAAAUCACAGGGAGGGGAAGUGGGGCAGCAGGGUGGAGCUGAAGGAGGAUUGUGGGUAAUUUAAGCGAUCGGAGGCAGGUAACAUUAAAUAAAAUAAAAACUGUGUUAGGUGUUAGGUUCUGAUUCAAAGUGAGUGAGUGACUAGAAUCAGCUUUGGACAGUUUAACAGAAACUGUUCCCAGAGCGAAAGUUAACACCUCGUUCCGACUGAGCCAUACGUGAACCAAUCAGGUUACUCGAUAUUCUACCCGCCACAUGAAGAAAAUCCUCGUCCCGGCUGCCCACGCCACCCCGCUCCACAAUGUGUCUUUAUUGGGUUUUUUUGUCUUUUUUGUCAUUUCUUAUUAACUCGUUUAUUUUUACAGUCCCAUCUCUAAGCUGGAGAGGUAACAUUUCAAAAAACCCAAAAAUAAAUUAUAGUUGAAGAGUGGAAAAAAACAACUAAAGUGUGACUGUAACAUAGACGGUCCGUCCUUUCUGUCUGCAUGUCUGUCCGACUGACUGACUGUUUGCUCUUGUCGGUUUGCGAUAAAAGAAAAUAAUAGAAACAAUCUUCUGGCUGAGUUUGCUUAUGUU